UACAGAGGUCUCAAGCGUUGUUCGGAUUCAUUGGGCGUAAAGGGUGCGUAGGUGGCUUGGUAAGUCGGAUGUGAAAUCCCGGGGCUCAACCCCGGAACUGCAUUCGAUACUGCUGAGCUGGAGUACUGGAGAGGAGAUUGGAAUUUACGGUGUAGCAGUGAAAUGCGUAGAUAUCGUAAGGAAGACCAGUGGCGAAGGCGGUUCUCUGGACAGUUACUGACACUGAGGCACGAAGGCCAGGGGAGCAAACGGG
rnacentral:rRNA from 1 species